UAUUAUUUCCUGACAUUAACUCUCCUGCUACUUGUCCAUCCUUUUCUCAGGCCCAGCAAAAUGGUGUGUGGGUUUAACAGACCAAGAGCAUUUUUUAUUGCUGGUUCCUCUCUGCGCUCUGAAGUCAUACUGCGUUCACUCUACUGAGCUAAUAAAAAAAGAAACAACUCCUAUUGAACGUGGCCACAGUUACGUGGGUGCAUGUGAAAUCUCUGAUUCUGGCAUGAAUCACAGCUCUCUGCCAUCCAGCUCUUCCCUGAGGUCUGCAUGGCUAGCAGUCAACCAGAGCAUGCUAUAAAGAGCAGAGGCAUUGAUCCAAGGAAGCAAUCAGGGCUGGCUGCCAUUACUGCUUAAAUCAGUGGAGAGAUUCCCACUGCAUUUCAGGGGUAACUGCAUUAGUUACUAGGUUGUUGUACUGGAAAGGCAUGCAAUUAAAAAAGCCAUGUUGUUCUCACCGAGCUGGAGCCAAGGAUGACCAACUGUGAUUGCUCAAGUGCAGCUGUGCAGUGUAACCCUCAUCUGCCACCAUGAAGGUAGUUGGUUGCAUUUUAGAUGCAAGUGAAACCCGGCCUGGCCAGAAGCUGCAGUUUGGCAACACAGACCCACCGAGGCCCUGCCCAGGCAUAGAGAGCUGCAACAAGAAUUUCUUUUAAGAGUCAGAGCUGUAAUUUCCAAAUGGUAGGGUUGAUCUGCAGAAGUUAUCUCAGCCUAACAACUUCACUACAGCCGGUGAGACUUCUGGCAGGUGUGUGGUUUACCAGGAGGAGUCUUCAGCUGGAAAACAAUUCUCAGGUGCUUUGCACUGAAUGGAAAGUGUAGAAAAGGUGGUUUUACUAAUGGUUUUUCUAUAGUGUUUAUUCCUUAUUUGAAUGCUCCCUAACAUUUUUAAAGUACUUUUCUGAAGUAAUUAUUUUCUACAAAUCUUGUUGAUAUAAAGGGAUGCCCCCACACUGUUUAUCUAACUCCCACUCUAAGUCUUAGCCUCCCGAGCAGUAAGGUAUGCACAUGCCCUUAACAGAAUCAUAGAAUGGUUUGGAUUGUAAGGGACCUUUAAAGGUCAUCUAGUCCAACUCCUCCCAUGCCAUGGACAGGGACAUCUUCAACUGGAUCAGGUUGCUCAGAGCCCCAUCCAGCCUGACCUUGAAUGUUUCCAGGGGUGGGGCAUCUACCACGUCUAGGCAACCUGCUCCAGUGUUUUACCAGCCACCCUCAUAGUAAAAAAUUUGUUCCUUACAUCUAUCUGAAUCUACCCUCUUUUAGUUUAAAACCACUACCCCUUGUCCUAUAGCAACAGGCCCUGCUGAAAAGUCUGUCCCCAUCUUUCUUGUAGGCCCCCUUUAGGUACUGGAAGGCUCCUAUAAGGUCUCCCCAGGGCCUUCUCUUCUCCAGACUGAACAACCCCCAAUGCCCUUAUUCUUGUGAGUCUUCCCAUGAACUCCUGUGGAAAUAGUUGCUUCCAUAAUGCUAUGCGAAUGUUUGAGGGCUCAGGAAAGACAGUGAAGUUACAAACACGUGAGCUCAAAACUUUUGAGAAAAUGAAGACUGUCAGUGUUCCCAUAAUUAAAGAUAUGCUAUGUAAACUCUGACCCUGUCUCUCCUUUUCCGUUAUCCAAGAUGAAUGAAACAUGAAACCGUGCAUUAAGCCUGGGAUGUAAGUAAAGGUUAUAAAAGUGA